GCGGGUGUGGCGGAACUGGAAGACGCGCGGGCCUUAGGAGCCCGUGGGCGCAAGCCUGUGGGGGUUCGACUCCCUCCGCCCGCA
rnacentral:tRNA from 1 species